UCAUCAAAUGAACCUCCAGUUAGGCAUGCAGCAUAUUCAGAAGGGACACGCAACCGUUCAAGAAGCUUAUCAAGUUCUUCAAUGAGUGCUUUAUUAUUUACAGACUGCAUCUCCAACUUGUUAUUGCGUGUUUCUAUCGACUCAAUGUCUUCUCUCAUGUGUCUAAGCUUCACAUUGAAGAUGCCUAACCAUUCAUCCAUAUCAUCAACACAAUUUGUUGCCACAUCAAGCC
rnacentral:misc_RNA from 1 species